AUAAAAGCCCAGGGCGGUUCAAUAUUUGACGUGAAAGGCCCUGUAUAUGAUGACGAAGAUACCAACAGUUACAUUC
rnacentral:tRNA from 1 species